ACGGUAACGAACUAGCUUGCUAGUUGCUGACGAGUGGCGGACGGGUGAGUAAUACUUAGGGAUCUGCCUCUGUGUGGGGGAUAACUAUUGGAAACGAUAGCUAAUACCGCAUAAUGUCUACGGACCAAAGAGGGCUUCGGCUCUCGCGCAGAGAGGAACCUAAGCGAGAUUAGCUUGUUGGUGAGGUAAAGGCUCACCAAGGCGACGAUCUCUAGCUGUUCUGAGAGGAAGAUCAGCCACACUGGAACUGAGACACGGUCCAGACUCCUACGGGAGGCAGCAGUGGGGAAUAUUGCACAAUGGGGGAAACCCUGAUGCAGCCAUGCCGCGUGUGUGAAGAAGGCCUUCGGGUUGUAAAGCACUUUCAGUUGUGAGGAAAGGUUAGUAGUUAAUACCUGCUAGCUGUGACGUUAACAACAGAAGAAGCACCGGCUAACUCCGUGCCAGCAGCCGCGGUAAUACGGAGGGUGCGAGCGUUAAUCGGAAUUACUGGGCGUAAAGCGCACGCAGGCGGUCUGUUAAGCUAGAUGUGAAAGCCCCGCGCUCAACGUGGGAGGGUCAUUUAGAACUGGCAGACUAGAGUCUUGGAGAGGGGAGUGGAAUUCCAGGUGUAGCGGUGAAAUGCGUAGAGAUCUGGAGGAACAUCAAUGGCGAAGGCAACUCCCUGGCCAAAGACUGACGCUCAUGUGCGAAAGUGUGGGUAGCGAACAGGAUUAGAUACCCUGGUAGUCCACACCGUAAACGCUGUCUACUAGCUGUUUGUGGAUUUAAUCCGUGAGUAGCCAAGCUAACGCGAUAAGUAGAC
rnacentral:rRNA from 1 species